rnacentral:tRNA from 2 species
GCGCCCGUAGCUCAACGGACAGAGCACCGGCCUUCUAAGCCGGGGGUUGUGGGUUCGAUUCCCGCCGGGCGCGCCA